AACGAACGCUGGCGGCGUGCUUAACACAUGCAAGUCGAACGGAAAGGCCCUGCUUUUGUGGGGUGCUCGAGUGGCGAACGGGUGAGUAACACGUGAGUAACCUGCCCUUGACUUUGGGAUAACUUCAGGAAACUGGGGCUAAUAUCGGAUAGGAGCUCCUGCUGCAUGGUGGGGGUUGGAAAGUUUCGGCGGUUGGGGAUGGACUCGCGGCUUAUCAGCUUGUUGGUGGGGUAGUGGCUUACCAAGGCUUUGACGGGUAGCCGGCCUGAGAGGGUGACCGGCCACAUUGGGACUGAGAUACGGCCCAGACUCCUACGGGAGGCAGCAGUGGGGAAUAUUGCACAAUGGGCGGAAGCCUGAUGCAGCAACGCCGCGUGCGGGAUGACGGCCUUCGGGUUGUAAACCGCUUUCGCCUGUGGCGAAGCGUGAGUGACGGUAAUGGGUAAAGAAGCACCGGCUAACUACGUG
rnacentral:rRNA from 1 species